UACGAAGGGGGCUAGCGUUGCUCGGAAUCACUGGGCGUAAAGGGCGCGUAGGCGGCCAUUCAAGUCGGAGGUGAAAGCCCAGGGCUCAACCCUGGAAUUGCCUUCGAUACUGUUUGGCUAGAGACCGGAAGAGGUAAGUGGAACUGCGAGUGUAGAGGUGAAAUUCGUAGAUAUUCGCAAGAACACCAGUGGCGAAGGCGGCUUACUGGUCCGGUUCUGACGCUGAGGCGCGAAAGCCAGGGGAGCGAACGGG
rnacentral:rRNA from 1 species